AUUGAACGCUGGCGGCAGGCCUAACACAUGCAAGUCGAGCGAGCGGCGGACGGGUGAGUAAUGUCUGGGAAACUGCCUGAUGGAGGGGGAUAACUACUGGAAACGGUAGCUAAUACCGCAUACCAUCAGAUGUGCCCAGAUGGGAGUAGCUAGUAGGUGGGGUAAAGGCUCACCUAGGCGACGAUCCCUAGCUGGUCUGAGAGGAUGACCAGCCACACUGGAACUCAGACACUGUCCAGACUCCUACGGUAGGCAGCAGUGGGGAAUAUUGCACAAUGGGCGCAAGCCUGAUUCAGCCAUGCCGCGUGUGUGAAGAAGGCCUUCGGGUUUUAAAGCACUUUCAGCGGAGAGGCGUUACCCGCAGAAGAAGCACCGGCUAACUCCGUGCCAGCCGCCGCGGUAAUUC
rnacentral:rRNA from 1 species